ACGUAGGGGGCGAGCGUUAUUCGGAAUUACUGGGUGUAAAGGGUAUGUAGGCGGCCCUUCAAGUCGCGUGUCAAAGUCCAGUGCUCAACGCUGGGUGUGCGCGCGAUACUGACGGGCUUGAGGGCUGGAGAGGUGAGCGGAAUUCCCGGUGUAGUGGUAAAAUGCGUAGAUAUCGGGAGGAACACCAGCGGCGCAGGCGGCUCACUGGACAAGAACUGACGCUAAGAUGCGAAAGCGUGGGGAGCGAACAG
rnacentral:rRNA from 1 species